AAUAAUUCCAAGUCGUUAAUUAUUACAGUGAUUGGAGAUAAUUAAAGAUCAUCGAGUAUCAAUCUAUAUAAUAGGAUAAUCAUAGAGAGACAAAACAAAAAAUAAAGAAAGAGAAAAAGAAAAAAACAAUGGUAGCAAGAAAGAGAGAGAGAGAGAGAGAAGAAAGAAGAAAGAUCAUGACAGAGCCUUCUUCCUCUCCGUUAGAAGUCGUUCUAUGAAAAAGCUUCGUUCGUUACCGUCGUUCAUUAUCGCGUUGUUGUUGUCGCACAGAGCCUUUGUCAUCGUUAUCAUUGCGCAACGAAGACCGCCGAGGACGUGCUCGCGAGUAAUCGCGCAACGUUGUUACCGUACGCCCGAGCGAGUUUGCUCGAACGUACGGAUUACGAGAGUUUACCUGCUCCGAAGUUUAUUCGAAAAUUUAUGCAGAAGGCAUAGAGACAUAUUCGACACGAACGAUAAGGUUGUGUAAAAUAAAAGACAAAGACGAAGAAAAAAAAAAA